ACAGUGCUCUGUGCAGCCUGGCAGCAUGAGUGAUCCUUGGGCCUCACACAAAAGCGAGAUAAUUGGCUCUCAAUGAAGAGAUGUAAACAUCCAUCAUAAUGGCACUGGGGCUGAAACUGAACGCUACCUCAGCUGUUCUAUGUACUCCGACUGGAAGAUGAUGUCACAAACAUCAACUGGGUGUACUCUCAUUGGCUUCUGUUACCUGGAAUCAUAUCUUAACCCUAAACUGUCAGCUGCAAAUUGAAAUGCUCAUCUCUGGCUAUAAUUUUGGCUGAAAGGGGAAUGAAAGUGAUGUUGAGCUCCUGGAGGACCACUUCCAACCACCUUAUCAUUGUCAAACUCAUCUCUGAUUCUUCAGCAUCGUGAGGCCACCAUGCUUUAUUUGGAAUCUACCUUUCUGUCCCAUAAUCAAGAAAGUUUCUCCAGGAAGAAACCAGACACAAUUUUCUGUAGAGAUACAGUAUAUCACUAUAUGGAAUUCAAAGCAUGUUCAACACUUUGUGCUAAGGCAUUGCUGCUUCAAAAUGUUUACAAUUUGAUCCUGUCUGAACCCAUUGAAUCUACUGCAACCAAAACUACACUUGCACUAAACUCUAUGGCUGAAUCAAAGAGAGAGAGACAGAGUGUGAGCAGGGGAGGAACAGAGAGAGAGGGAGACACAGAAUUUGAAGCAACUCCAGUCUCCAGGCUGUCAGCACAGAGCCCAAGCAGGGCUGGAGCUCACAAACAGCAAGGUCAUGACCUGAGUCAAAGUCUGAUGCUCAACUGACUGAGCCACCCAGGCGUCCCUUCUUCUAUUUUUGGCUAAGUUGUUUUGUUUUUUUGUUUGUUUGUUUGUUUUUUGGCAACCAUCUGCUGAUCAGAGUUCCAUUCAGUCUUUAAAGCUAAAAACAUCCAUUGUGAAUGUACUCUAUUCCAGGAUUUUUUUUUUUAUUCUUUGGUGGAAGAAAAAUUUAAAUCCGAAAAUCUUGGAUGCAUAUACUUUCCAAACAUUCACUAUUUUUCAAUCAUUUUUACAUAAUGUAAUAGUAAUACAUUU